AAAUAAUAAUAUGUAAUUCUUAAAAAGUAGAAGGUGCAAUCAACUAUUUCAACUUUCUAGUCGGUGGUAUUGGUGUAGGAUAAUUGGUGGUAUCCGGAACAUGUUCUUUUGCUAUCCGAGGUCCACCAAAUUUGCUAGCAACCGUACCAGUAACUUCACUUUCGAUAUUGUAGUAUAUAUCAUCAAAUACUUAAACAAAAAAGAAUCAUCCAAAAAGUUAAACAGAAAAAAUUUAUCCAAAAGUUAAAAAUAAUAAUAUGUAAUUCUUAAAAAGUAGAAUGUGCAAUCAACUAUUUCAACUUUCUAGUCGGUGGUAUUGGUGUAGGAUAAUUGGUGGUAUCCGGAACAUGUUCUUUUGCUAUCCGAGGUCCACCAAAUUUGCUAGCAACCGUACCAGUAACUUCACUUUCGCUGAUCGCGCCAUCUUCAUUCUUUGUUUUUCCAUAAUGCCAUAGGAUUGUUGAAAUCUCUCUUGCCCAAGAAAAGUCAAAAGAUCAGCAAACACAUUCAUGUUGGUACAUGAAGAC
rnacentral:lncRNA from 1 species